rnacentral:lncRNA from 1 species
CCAAAGCCCAGGCUACAAUCUCUGGGGUGGGACCCAGUAUCGUUGAAGCUCCCUAGGUGACUUCACUGUGCAUACAAAUUGAGAAUCCUGCUCUAUGACGUUCAGUCAUUUUGUCUUUUGAGUACCAGCUUCCUUCUCAGUAACAAGUGGACAGCAAAUACCCAGCUCAUCAGCUUUUUGGGAAAAUCAAAUGAAUAUAUGCAGUGUCUGACGUAAGGGAGGAAACAUGUCUUUUCCUGCUAUCCAUCUUAUGUUCAUUGGCAGGGUCUUCUGUGCUAAAAGACAGAUUAACAAGAGAAAAGCAUGUCAGAGCCUUCAUAAGGUAAUGAAGACCCAAGAAAGUGGUUAAACCUGAGUGUUUUUAUCCGUCGUUUGAUGAAGAGCAGAGAGUUGUGGAGAAACAUGGCAGGACAAAGGGGGCAUGAGCUAAGUGUAAUAAACUGGGAGAAACUUAGCAAGGCCCACUCGUUCCGGUUCCUGGGUCCCUUUGUCUUCAGAGGUAAGGAUGUUCCUUUCUUCUCGGUAUAAAGGAGGCCACCUCUCACGUGAAUGUCUAAUGAUCUGCUUCAGGGGAAGGUCAGAGGGUCCUUUCUGCAUAUGCUGUUUCUCAAAUUCCUUUAGCUUAAAAUAUUCAGUGUGCCAAGGUGCCAUAUUUCCAGGUAGCAUAUCCAGAACUCUGCCAUUCUGAAAUAUCAUCAUUUGGAUAAACGUUCAG